rnacentral:misc_RNA from 1 species
UUUCCGUAGGUGAACCUGCGGAAGGAUCAUUAUUGAAUACGAUUGGUACUGAUGCUGGCUCUUUACUGAGCAUGUGCUCGUCCAUCUAUUUAUCUUCUCUUGUGCACAUUUUGUAGUCUUGAACGAACCUCUCGCAGUCAAUGCGGUUUGGGAGAUUGGGCGCGAGCCAUCCGCCUGCUUCUUCAAGGCUAUGUUUUCAUAUACACUAUAAAGUUACAGAAUGUCUUUUAACGAUUGCGCUUGUCGUAGUCAUUAAACCUAUACAACUUUCAGCAAGGGAUCUCUUGGCUCUACCAUCGAUGAAGAACGAAGC